AUGGAGGACCGUAUGGGGUGGAGAGCGCUAUGUUUCGCUGAGGAGCGCACUAUCUCACCCAUACGCACGCACAGUCCGGUGCGCGUUAUUCCAGCCCCUCGCAGGUGCCGUGCUAGAGCGGGCAUCCAGCCUGGUAGGAGGAUGCCUGCGCAGCGCAUCUGGUCGCCGGUACGCCUCCGAGGACCAGGCUACCCAACUCCCGCUCUACGCACGGCUACCAUCAGGCCCCUGCACAGCCCAGUCUGCCCUGUACGGGCACCCCGCUCGUACAGGGCUACUAGUUCCAUCCAGCCAAGACGGGUUGUGCAGGAGGUAAGAUCGAGACCGACUGUGCGCCUCCAUAGCCCUGGGUUUCCAGCUCCUGUCUCUCGUGCGGACCCGGAAGUGCGUCAACCCAGUCCGACUCGUCCUGUUCCCGCUCCCCGCACUAGCCUGGAGGUGCGUGUACAUAAUCUGGUAAGCCCAGUACCAGCACCACGCACCAGGCUACAAGUGCGUCAACCCAGCCUCGCCAGUCAACAGUCUUCAUCAGAGCUGCCCGCCAGUCAACAGUCAUCAUCAGAGCUGCCCGCCAGUCAACAGUCAUCAUCAGAGCUGCCCGCCAGUCAACAGUCAUCAUCAGAUCUGCCCGCCAGUCAACAGUCAUCGUCAGAGCUGCCCGCCAGUCAACAGUCAUCGUCAGAGCUGCCCGCCAGUCAACAGUCAUCGUCAGAGCUGCCCGCCAGUCAACAGUCAUCGUCAGAGCUGCCCGCCAGUCAACAGUCAUCGUCAGAGCUGCCUGCCAGUCAACAGUCGUCAGAGCUGCCCGCCAGUCAACAGUCGUCAGAGCUGCCCGCCAGUCAACAGUCGCCAGAGAGGUCAGACUGCGCUGAACUGCCGGAGUGGCCAGACUGCGCUGAACUGCCGGAGUGGCCAGACUGCGCUGAACUGCCGGAGUGGCCAGACUGCGCUGAACUGCCGGAGUGGCCAGACUGCCCUGAACUGCCGGAGUGGCCAGACUGCCCUGAACUGCCGGAGUGGCCAGACUGCCCUGAACUGCUGGAGUGGCCAGACUGCCCUGAACUGCCGGAGUGGCCAGACUGCCCUGAACUGCCGGAGUGGCCAGACUGCCCUGAACUGCCGGAGUGGCCAGACUGCCCUGAACUGCCGGAGUGGCCAGACUGCCCUGAACUGCCGGAGUGGCCAGACUGCCCUGAACUGCCGGAGUGGCCCGAGUGGCCAGACUGCCCAGACUGUCCCGAAUUGCCAGACUGCCCAGACUGUCCCGAAUUGCCAGACUGCCCAGACUGUCCCGAAUUGCCAGACUGCCCAGACUGUCCCGAAUUGCCAGACUGCCCAGACUGUCCCGAAUUGCCAGACUGCCCAGACUGUCCCGAAUUGCCAGACUGCCCAGACUCUCCCGAAUUGCCAGACUGCCCAGACUCUCCCGAAUUGCCAGACUGCCCCGACUGCCCCCCGGCGAUGCCAGACUGGCCCGACUGCCCCUCGGCGAUGCCAGAGUGGCCCGACAGCCUGGAACGGCCGGAACCAGAGCCACCUCCAGAAAUAGGUGGGUUGGGGAGGGGGGGUGUAGCACAGUGUCGUCGUUGA
rnacentral:lncRNA from 8 species